CGGCGGACGGGUGAGUAACACGUAGGCAACCUGCCUGCAAGACUGGGAUAACUACCGGAAACGGUAGCUAAUACCGGAUACGCAAGAGAGUCGCAUGAUUUUCUUGGGAAAGACGGAGCAAUCUGUCACUUGCGGAUGGGCCUGCGGCGCAUUAGCUAGUUGGUGAGGUAACGGCUCACCAAGGCGACGAUGCGUAGCCGACCUGAGAGGGUGAACGGCCACACUGGGACUGAGACACGGCCCAGACUCCUACGGGAGGCAGCAGUAGGGAAUCUUCCGCAAUGGACGAAAGUCUGACGGAGCAACGCCGCGUGAGUGAUGAAGGUUUUCGGAUCGUAAAGCUCUGUUGCCAGGGAAGAACGUCGGGUAGAGUAACUGCUAUCCGAGUGACGGUACCUGAGAAGAAAGCCCCGGCUAACUACGUGCCAGCAGCCGCGGUAAUACGUAGGGGGCAAGCGUUGUCCGGAAUUAUUGGGCGUAAAGCGCGCGCAGGCGGCCAUUUAAGUCUGGUGUUUAAUCCCGGGGCUCAACUCCGGGUCGCA
rnacentral:rRNA from 1 species